UGUGGUUUAAUUCGAUGAUACGCGAGGAACCUUACCAAGACUUAAAUGGGAAAUGACAGGUUUAGAAAUAGAUCCUUCUUCGGACAUUUUUCAAGGUGCUGCAUGGUUGUCGUCAGCUCGUGCCGUGAGGUGUUAGGUUAAGUCCUGCAACGAGCGCAACCCCUGUCACUAGUUGCUAACAUUCAGUUGAGGACUCUAGUGAGACUGCCUACGCAAGUAGAGAGGAAGGUGGGGAUGACGUCAAAUCAUCACGGCCCUUACGUCUUGGGCCACACACGUGCUACAAUGGCCAGUACAGAGGGCAGCUACCAGGUGACUGGAUGCGAAUCUCGAAAGCUGGUCUCAGUUCGGAUUGGAGUCUGCAACUCGACUCUAUGAAGCUGGAAUCGCUAGUAAUCGCGCAUCAGCCAUGGCGCGGUGAAUACGUUCCCGGGCCUUGUACACUCCGCC
rnacentral:rRNA from 1 species